CCUACGGGAGGCUGCAGUCGAGAAUCAUUCACAAUGGGGGAAACCCUGAUGGUGCGACGCCGCGUGGGGGAAUGAAGGUCUUCGGAUUGUAAACUCCUGUCAUGUGGGAGCAAAUUAAAAAGAUAGUACCACAAGAGGAAGAGACGGCUAACUCUGUGCCAGCAGCCGCGGUCAUGCAGAGGUCUCAAGCGUUGUUCGGAAUCACUGGUCGUAAAGUGUGCGUAGGCUGUUUCGUAAGUCGUGUGUGAAAGGCGCGGGCUCAACCCGCGGACGGCACAUGAUACUGCGAGACUAGAGUAAUGGAGGGGGAACCGGAAUUCUCGGUGUAGCAGUGAAAUGCGUAGAUAUCGAGAGGAACACUCGUGGCGAAGGCGGGUUCCUGGACAUUAACUGACGCUGAGGCACGAAGGCCAGGUGAGCGAAAGGGAUUAGAUACCCGUGUAGUC
rnacentral:rRNA from 1 species